GACGAACGCUGGCGGCGUGCUUAACACAUGCAAGUGGAGCGACGAAGCGGGCUUCGGCCCGUGGCAGAGCCGCGAACGGGUGAGUAACACGUGGGUAACCUGCCCCGAUGACCGGGACAACCCGAGGAAACUCGGGCUAAUACCGGAUGUGGUCACCUCACAUAAGUGAGAUGACUAAAGAUAGCUUCGGCUUUCGCAUCGGGAUGGGCCCGCGGCGCAUUAGCUUGUUGGUGAGGUAACGGCUCACCAAGGCAACGAUGCGUAGCUGGUCUGAGAGGACGAUCAGCCACACUGGGACUGAGACACGGCCCAGACUCCUACGGGAGGCAGCAGUGGGGAAUCUUGCGCAAUGCGCGAAAGCGUGACGCAGCAACGCCGCGUGGGGGAAGAAGGCCUUCGGGUUGUAAACCCCUUUCGGGAGGGACGAAGCCUGGCUGGUGAAUAGCCAGUCCAGGUGACGGUACCUCCACAAGAAGCCCCGGCUAACUACGUGCCAGCCGCCGCAGUAAAAC
rnacentral:rRNA from 1 species